CAGCAGCCGCGGUAAUACGAAGGGGGCUAGCGUUGCUCGGAAUCACUGGGCGUAAAGGGUGCGUAGGCGGGUCUUUAAAACAGGGGUGAAAUCCUGGAGCUCAACUCCAGAACUGCCUUUGAUACUGUAGAUCUUGAGUUCGGGAGAGGUGAGUGGAACUGCGAGUGUAGAGGUGAAAUUCGUAGAUAUUCGCAAGAACACCAGUGGCGAAGGCGGCUCACUGGCCCGAUACUGACGCUGAGGCACGAAAGCGUGGGGAGCAAACAGGAUUAGAUACCCCAGUAGUCCCUGUCUCUUAUAC
rnacentral:rRNA from 1 species